AGCACCAGCCGCGGGACCAAAUGCUGGAGCUGGGAGCGGCGACAGGAAUGGAGGUAACGGGCCGCUGCGGCCUGGGAGGCUUACCCGGAAUUAAGGGCGAGGCGAGGAGAUCCGAAGGAAAAGGAAAGCUUCACCUCAAGUUACCCAUUUGCCUCUUCAGGCUGGGUUGCCAGAGCCCUUGGCCUGGGAGGACUCUUAAGUAAAUUGUGCCACAGUUCAGCCAGUUGCUUGCUCAAGUCAAACACCUGAGAGUCAAGAAAUUUUUCUCACUAAGCUUCCUGCUCCACACCAUUUAGUGGAAACAAAGGAAUCAGAAAGCUAGAAGGUUAAAAAAGUGUGGUCUAGUGUGGGCCACCAAACCCACAAGUACCAUAAGUAACUACCACUUUUUUAGCUGGCAAUGAAUUUGUCACUGUAUCAGGCACUUCAUAUAUAUUAUGUCAUUUUAUCUUCACAAAACUCUCUGAGUGUUCUCUCUCCAUUUUAUAUUUGAGUUAAUGAUUUUGGGCUGGGUGCAGUGGCUCACACCUGUAAUCCCAGCACUGUGG
rnacentral:sRNA from 1 species